rnacentral:rRNA from 1 species
UGGGGAAUAUUGCACAAUGGGGGAAACCCUGAUGCAGCUACGCCGCGUGAGUGAUGAAGGCCCUCGGGUUGUAAAGCUCUGUUGUGAGGGAAGAAUUUUGACGGUACCUCAUGUAGCAAGCACCGGCUAACUCCGUGCCAGCAGCCGCGGUAAUACGGAGGGUGCAAGCGUUGCUCGGAAUCACUGGGCGUAAAGGGUGCGCAGGCGGACUGUUAAGCCAGAUGUGAAAGCCCAGGGCUCAACCCUGGAACUGCAUCUGGAACUGGCAGUCUUGAGUAUGAGAGAGGAAAGUGGAAUUCCUGGUGUAGAGGUGAAAUUCGUUGAUAUCAGGAGGAACACCAGCGGCGAAGGCGGCUUUCUGGCUCAUAACUGACGCUCAUGCACGAAAGCGUGGGGAGCAAACAGG